GCCCCUGCUUGACCCCCCGGCACACGCCCCUGUGUGAAUAAACCACCUCCCUGCGUGACGUAAGUGACACGGACACAAGCACUCGUGUGCCCAGCGCUGCCAGCGGAGAGCUUCUCCCCCCCACUCGCCUGCCGCGCAGAGAUGGGUUAUCAGGCCAAGGGGAGAUCUCCCAUCCAUUGGCACGAAGCGUCAUCACCAGACGCGCUGCAGCAGCGCUGGGCGUGUGGACAAGCCCCAUGCCCCAGGGGGGCCCUUGGGGGACCUCAGAGGACACAAGACUUUGUUGAGGGCCCCCCCCACCCAUGAAGAGGAGAGGUGCAGGAGCGCUUGUCCCACCAGCUGGAACGUGGGCAGGAAGGGCAUGAAACCCCCGUCCAGGAGAAACCCCUUGCUGGAUGCUGCCUGGAUGGGAAGGGGCAGGAAUGACUGGGCAUAAGCACCAGAUCCCCUGGCUGUGCCCGGCUCAGCCCCACGGCACACACAGCGCUUGCUUCUUACAGGAGUUUCUGUGACCUUGGGACCCCUAGGGCUGUAACUCCCUGGUGCGUGUGUGACCUGCUGUAACCUUGUCAAGAACUCCCAGUGCUUGGUCUUAGGUAACAAAUCUUUACUGAGGUUAUUACAGGAUUGGCUACAAGCGUUGUCUGGGGAGUGAGAUCGAAGGUGCCACUGCCCUGAGGUAAGUGACGGGUCCUGUGGAACAGGGAGUGACCCGAAUAUUGCUGUGAUUUGUGGUGGAAGGGACGAUCGAUCGAUCACAAGGGCAGACUGGCCGGGGUGGCCAGACAGAUUGGAGAGCCCAAGGGGACUGUCUGUGGCUCCGCGGUUACGUUGUUACAGGGCCUGCGGAGUUCACACUGCCCUGAGAUUGGUCCCCACACUCGUGAGCCAUUCGACAGCGUGACAGGGUCGCCCCAGGGCCCUGCUGGGACUGAGGGGCAGGGACGGGUCCCCAGGCGGGGGCAGCGCGGCCUGGAACCGGGCAGAGCGCGGGGAGCAGACGGGCACAGGAAGGGACCGGCCCCAGGUUCUGCAUUCUCCGGGCUGGGCGAGGGGCUGGGGGAGACGGACGGAAACUCCUGCCGGUCAGGGGAUCCGACGCCCAGGAUCUAAUGCAGGAGUCCUGCAGGGAGAGGGGAGAGAAAUCAGCCCCUGGCCGUGGGGCUGGCGGGACGGACGGGGGAUUUUCUCUGCCAGGCCC
rnacentral:lncRNA from 1 species